UUAUGGCUCAGGAUGAACGCUGGCGGCGUGCUUAAUACAUGCAAGUCGAACGAAGUUUCUCGCCGAAGCUUGCUUCAUUGAGAAACUUAGUGGCGGACGGGUGAGUAACGCGUGGGUAGCCUGCCUUACACAGGGGGAUAACAGUUAGAAAUGACUGCUAAUACCGCAUAAGCGCACAGAAUCGCAUGAUUCAGUGUGAAAAGAUUUAUCGGUGUAAGAUGGACCCGCGUCUGAUUAGCUAGUUGGUGAGGUAACGGCCCACCAAGGCGACGAUCAGUAGCCGGCCUGAGAGGGUGAACGGCCACAUUGGGACUGAGACACGGCCCAAACUCCUACGGGAGGCAGCAGUAGGGAAUAUUGGACAAUGGGGGGAAACCCUGAUCCAGCGACGCCGCGUGAAGUGAAGAAGUAUUUCGGUACGUAAAGCUCUAUCAGCAGGGAAGAAAGGCUCGUAAGAGAGAUGACGGUACCUGACUAAGAAGCCCCGGCUAACUACGUGCCAGCAGCAGC
rnacentral:rRNA from 1 species